rnacentral:rRNA from 1 species
UACGUAGGGGGCAAGCGUUGUCCGGAAUCAUUGGGCGUAAAGAGCGUGUAGGCGGCUCGGUAAGUCCGCUGUGAAAGUCCAGGGCUCAACCCUGGAAUGCCGGUGGAUACUGCCGGGCUAGAGUCCGGAAGAGGCGAGUGGAACUCCUGGUGUAGCGGUGGAAUGCGCAGAUAUCAGGAAGAACACCAACGGCGAAGGCAGCUCGCUGGGACGGAACUGACGCUGAGGCGCGAAAGCGUGGGGAGCGAACAGG